GGUGGCUCAGUGGUAGAGCGCUUGCCUUGUAUGCAUCAGGCCCUGGGUUCGAUUCCUUAGCACCA
rfam:Dipodomys ordii contig_32474, whole genome shotgun sequence.